GUCCAGUAGCGCAAUGGAUAGUGCGUUAGAAAUCUAAUUAAAAGGUCGUGGGUUGGAAUCCCACCAGGGAUG